AUGUGAAAAUAUUCAAAAUAUAUAAAAGUUACCUUUUGCAUAAUGGUUUAAUUAACUUUUAAAAAUUUUUAUUUCCCGAAAUAAAAAGAUCUAAUAAAAAAAAAUAAUCUGUUUUAAAAUAUUAUUUUGAUUUUUUAUUAGGUGUGAAAGGCUAAUCAAUUUUUAUGAUAUCUGGAUAAGAUUAAAUGUAUCUAGUACAGGCUAAAAGCUGAUGAGCCCCCUGUUAAGGGGGGGCUCAUAAAGUAUUUAUAAUUAAUAAAUAUAUUUAGGAUAAUUCUAUAAUAAUUUAUUAUACUUAUAAUUAUUUAUAUUUUA
rnacentral:rRNA from 1 species